GCUCCCCGGCGGGGCGGGGCGGGGCGGAGCUCGGCUGCCGGAGGCCGCCUCCGACCCGGGCGGGAGGAGCGGCGGCGGCGGCAGCAUGGCAGCCUCCUGUGGGGCCGGCGGGCCGGCGGCGGGCCGGGGAGAUACAGAGUGUAUUUUGGAGCCUCUGUCUCUGCCAGAAAGUCCAGGUGGUGCUGCUGCUGUAGAAAGUUCUCCCUAUGUGCCCUGUAUUUUCUGCAAAGAAUGCUAUCUCUUAGCAGAAGAAAACCAGCUCCUGAAGCACAUGAUUAUUGAACACAAGCUCGUCAUAGCAGAUGUGAAACUGGUUGCAGAUUUUAGAAGAUACAUCUUGUACUGGAAGAAGAGGUUUGCAGAACAGCCCAUCACAGACUUUUGUAGUGUGAUAAGAACAAAUUCGGAAGCUCCAUUAGAAGAGCAGGACAAUUAUUUUCUCCUAUGUGAUGUUUUACCAGAAGACAGAUUACUUAGAGAACAACUUCAGCAGAAAAGACUGAGAGAAAUUCUAGAACAGCAACAGCGGGAGAGAUACGACACGAGUUUUCGUAGUAUGUGUAUGUUCUGUGAUCAAGAAUUCACAGGAAACAGGUCUGUCCUACUCAAUCAUAUGGCAAGAGAGCAUGCUUUUAACAUUGGGCUGCCAGAUAACAUUGUGAAUUGCUAUGAGUUUUUGGCUGUAUUACAGGAGAAGCUUGACAAUUUGCAGUGUUUAUACUGUGAAAAAGUCUUCAGAGACAAAAACACACUUAAAGAUCACAUGAGAAAGAAGCAGCAUCGCAGAAUCAAUGCCAAAAACAAAGAAUAUGAUAAAUUUUAUAUCAUUAAUUACUUGGAAUUUGGAAAGUCCUGGGAGGAAGUGCAGUCAGAGGAUGACCGGGAAUUACUGUGUAACACAGAAGAAGACUGGUCUGACUGGGAAGAGCAUCCGGUGUGUGCAGUUUGCCUGUUCUGUGAACAACAAGCAGACACCACCGAGAAACUGUAUCUUCACAUGCAGAAAUCACAUGGAUUUGACUUUCCUAAAAUAAAAUCAGAGCAUGGCCUGAACUUUUAUCAGCAAGUAAAGCUAGUGAACUUCAUCAGAAGAGAAAUCCAUCAUUGUCGUUGUUACAACUGCCAGGAGAAAUUUCAGUCUAAAGAAGGAUUGAUAAGUCACAUGGAAGAGACCAAACACGUUACAUUCCUGCCACCCAGGUCUACGUGGGAUCAGCCACAGUAUUAUUUUCCUACCUAUGAAAAUGAUACGCUCCUGUGUACGCUGUCAGACAGUGAAGAUCUGAUAACUGAGGAUCAAAGUGAAGAUAUCCCUGUUGUAAGUGAAGAUAUAUCCAAUCUAAAAGCUCUCAAACAGAGCAGUGUUUUAAACCAGCUCCUGCAUGAAGAGAACAAGAGUCAGGAGAAAUUUUGACCAUGAAUUACAGUUGCUGAACUUUGAGUGUUUCUUCUGCAAGACAAAAAAAACCAAAAACGUUCUUUCACAAAUAUUGGAAUACAGUUUAACUCAUAAAUGAUAAAUAAAAUAGUGGUUGACCUAAAUCUGACACGAGAAACUGAACUGUGAACAGAAGUGCAGUCACUUUCUUCCAAGGUUACCAGUCUCAGUGCUCAAGUUCAAGUCCAGAGCGGACACUGGACAUAGUUCUUGGCAACAUCUAACAUCCGCUGCCAUUGUGUGCAGUAGCAAGUUUCACAGCUUUGCUUAUGACAUGGUGCUGUAUUAAAUGAUCUUGCAUUAUUUGCAUUUUACUUAUAUUUAUACGGAGGCAAAGGAGCAUCAGAGGUCCCAGAGAAAAGCUUUUACAGGGCAAGAUGAAAAAUGCCUUGUUUUCUCCAGGAGUUUUUGUUAAGUCAUGGUGCUUUCUGGGCCUUAGUUACAAUAGUAUGACUGAAAUGUCUGUGGUCAAAUUGUGCCCUCAGCUCUCUCUGCCAGGUGCGUCAAACUUGGGUAGAUAACAACUGUCGCAUGGAACAGGUAUGUUGUAACCCUGGCUUGAAUUACUGCUUCCAUGCAAUGGUCAUUAGAAUCAGCUGCUGCAGAAAUACUACAGGCAACAGUGGCUGCAUGAAGAACCUAGUUCAUGUAAAAUUCGUUCCUUUUCUCCAUAAGCACUGAAUGUGCUGUUGUCCCCAGUGUUUGGGGUUUUUUUUCCUAUUAGAAGCUUUCUGCUGCUAAGUCACACUUAAUUUGGCUUCUUCCACCAGUGAAAUUUUUAGUUGCUUCCUGAAUUUGAUUUUACUCAUUUUCACAGACUCUUGCUCAUGAACAUACAGAUAAGGUAACUAUUUCAGAAAUCACCAUGUAGCCCCUUAGUUGAACUCACAUUUGAUAUUUUACAUCCCUGAUAAAUUAAUUCUGUCCAUAGAAGAGCAGGGGAAUUUGGGAUAUUUACAACUAAAAAUACAUCAGUUGUCUUUGCAUAAAUUUAGAUAGAAAUAAAAGCAUUUUCCUGCCACAAAUGUUCCUUGGAACACAGUUCUUUCCAUCUGGUUCACCAUCCUGAGACUGAGAAGCUUCCCGUGUGUAGAUUACAUAUGAGCCUGAUGGCUAAUCUUCCGUUAUAAUCAAUAAAUGUAGCCUAUGGAUCUUGGAGUCAUUCAGCUCACCCUAAACUAAACACCUAAAACUUUAUUCAGUUCCUUGCCCGUAGAAAUCUAGUGUCAUCUGAGAUGUUUGAAAAUAUUGUGGUCUCCAGCUGCUGCUCCUGAAGGUUGCUGAUCUCUCAGAGACCUUGCGUCAGUUCUGUCAACUGCGUUAUGCGCAUUUCCGAUACCAUGGAGCAUCUCAGAUGGCAUUGAGGCGUAUCUAAGUCGAAGCAGCUACAUCCAGCACUUUUGGCUGGUAGCUAAAUAUCUCUUUUAGGCUGCGGUAACUCUAAUGGAAACUUAGGCACGUAGGUCACAUCUGUUCCCCUACAUCUGGACCUCCUAAAUUUCAUUAUAUUCAUUUAGAGCUGAAUUCUAUCCUACUAUUAUGGAAUUCAUUUAAUCUGAAGGUAGAUAUCUACAUGGAUCAGAUGAUUUGCCUUCUGGAAUGGAGAAGUAGCUUUGGUAGCUACACUGGAAAUAUGUAAAACUAGUCAUUUAGCCUCUGCUGCUCUGUUGUCACAACAGCUUUGGAGACAAGAGGACAAUUGGUUACCUUUUGGCACAUAUGGUCACGGUUAAAUCAUAAUCAUGGACCUAAGUAUAGAAACCACUGAAAUGUAGGGAGAAGUACCCUACAAAACAUACAUUAUAUAUGUGCUUCCCUGAUUCAAGAAAUCAAGAUUAGAUGAUUACAAAUCAAGAGUAGAUGCAUGUUAAACAGGAGCAAUCAAGAAGCUGGACAAGUUCUGCAGAUAGGUUGUGAUGUCUUUGUUCUUUUUGCCCAUGAACUACUAUUGUGUCUGUAUUUUUGCCUGGGAAGACCCUCCUGAGACUGAAUAUGGGUGAAAAAGAUGGUAAUAGAAGUCUGUAGACCACAUUGAGGAAUGUGGCUAAUGCUUGACUGUCCCACCCCUACCUUUCUAACCACAUCCCAGGUUUUUCAUUCGUAUCUCAAAAUUUUUUUGGCUUGUAGGCAUUUUGGGUCAAGAACUAUCUUUUAUCUUUUUUAAAAUUUUAUUUCUAGCAUUUAGCAUGCAUGGCUUAACCAGGUUGAGACCAGCAGGCACAAUUACAAUGCAAAGUAAUGACAUUGUAAUGACGUCCCCAAAAAAAAGAGCUAUGGUUCAUGGUGAUUAAUUUAACUUGGCUCUUGACAUAAAUUAUAACAGUCUUUGUACCAACUCAUCAUAGAAGAAAGCAUUAAAUAGCACUUAAAAUGGCACGUAUCCCCUCGGGGUGCCUUUGCAACAGAAAGAGUUUGUAGCUCUGCACAAAACUGGGUCUGAAAAGACUCCAACAAAAUGUGUCCCUUCCUCUGGUGGCUCGUACCUCUCAGUACCGGCGUAAACAAAGAAACCAAGACACCGCAAGGACUAGGUGUGAAUUCAGACAAGAGGGGCUGCUGCUAGGUGUGAAACCUGAGCCAGAUAUUAGUAAGUGCUAAUUAUUAUUUUAAAAUCUACAGGCUGGUGGUUGUUCUUACAAAUUGCAUAUUGCAAGUAUUGCAAAGAAAGUACAAGGAGCCUUAUCGCAUCACAGGAAGGAAAAACAUAUUGUUCUUUAUUUGCACUUACUGCUCCAGCGUCCCCACGCAUUGUCAGGCUCUUACAGCUCCUGCGGCAUUUCUUUUGCAAGUAUCCAGGCUGGUAUCAUUUCUUGGAAAAAAGGCAUUCCAGAAACCCUUGCUCUUCCUUUUAGCACCAUGAGGAGCCCAGGAAGAGCUCUCUAGUAUUACUGCUAAUCACCUGAAGACUGGUAAGCUGUAAAUGCGAUUCUUUGGUAUAAACGAAUGAUUGAAAAUUUCAAAUUCUGAGAGGGCUGUGCAAUGCUUUUUAGUAGCACAUCACACGAGGAUGUAGUGAAAUCCCUGAAUAUAAUUACAAGCAGACUUUUGUCGUCACCUCCAGCCACAGCUUCAUUGAGUGUUAGGAGACUUACUUUUCAUUUCUAUGCUCUCUGGAAAUAUCAGAACAAUAUUGAAAUAAAUAAUGCAGGAAUUACUGAUUGCUCAUUAGAGAGUCUGGGUUUGUAAACUGCUUGCUACCGCUUUGCAGAGCUGAGCAUUGCUUUAGCCUUUAGGUGGUUUUAGCUUUAAACUUCCAAUUGUAUUGUGGUCAGUUUGUUACUUUCUGACACGUAUCUGUCUUCACACCAUUUACAGAAAUAUUGCUGUGAAUCUUCACAAACAUUUGACCUAUUUUAAUAAACUGCCUGAUAUUUUUGUUUGAAUCUAGAUGAAAUAAAGAGCAAAUAAGCAAGGAGGGAGCUUAGCAUUUGUGAAGAAGGAUCAUGAACGUGUGACAAUGCUGGCCUCUCAUAUUUUUACAAACAGUGACUUACCAUGCAUCCUUUGACAAAUAUUGUUACUACCCUGUGCCACAGUUCCCUGAACAGCAAGAAUGUGAUCAUAUGAUAAUAACUGCCAGGAAAAAAAAGGCACAUAGAAGAUGGGAUUCCAGAGUGUGCAUUUGUAUGUAUGUCAGGUUUUCAUAUUUAAAAUAUUUAGUUUAAAAGGUGACUAGAUCACAGUCAAAAUAGUUACUCAUUCCAGAAGAAACUUAAUUUUGGGGGUAGUUUCCCAAAAGGAAACAAAAGUUAAACAUUUUAAAAAUGACAUCUUUUAAAAAGAAGUGUUAACUUCCUCAUCCGAUUUUCAGAAUAUGUCUGAUUUUCCAUUACUUGAGGUUUUUAAAUAGAGAAUUAAUAUUAUGUAACAGAUCUUCUGCCUUCAGUCACAUUACAGAUCUUCCAAGUGUUCAGUUGCAUACUAAGGAAGACUGGUUUUCUGUAAGAAAAAAAGUGCUACAUAAUGUGGAGUAGCCAUGAUCCACACAGGUUAGAGAAGAUGUUCAUGCUUGUCUCCUCUAGCCUUAUAAACCCUUGAGUUUGCUGAGAUUAAAAUAAAUUGUAAAAUACUGUGUAUCCUUUAAUUCAUUUAAUUGUUCCUUUGCGUUGUAAACAGUGCCCAUGUAAAAUCCUAGCUCUCUAAGAACUUUUCAAGUGCAGGUUUAAUAUUUUCCUCAUAAAGUACAUACACGUGAGGUAGAUAAGAUUUCUCCGGAUUCCCUUAAUCUUGUGUUAUUGCAUGUGCCUUGCCUUUGCUUCACCGUAGGAAAGUUUCUGUGUAAGACAGGACAUUUUUUCUCUAUUAUAGCUGAUACUUGGAUGAGAUUCUCUUCUCAAAAGUUACUGCAAUGGUACCUUUGUUCAUACUCUUGUUUUAACCAGAGGCCUGAGUUUUCUGACUUGCAUUGAGGCACUCCGACAACCAGGCGACAUUUCAGGUAAGUAAUCUGUGAAAGGGCUGAUCACUCAGUAACACUGAUACUGUUUCUGUAGGCAUAAAGCGUGGGGGAAAAAAAUCUUCCUGAUCCUUAAUUUCUUGGUCUUUUUUUGCACAGAAAACAAAGGGGAUCCAUUAAAGAAUCUUUAAUAAAAGAAACCCUGAUAUCCUCUUUGUGACAUCAGUUAUAUUUGCGCUGAAAAAAAAAAUCUUUUGGAGGUUUUCACCAGAUGGCUGCUUAUACCUGCGGCAGUCCCAGAGUGCUCUCAACGACACUUCACCCUCUAAGUGAGAGGCAGGUGAAAGCAGCACCUCCAGCUCUCAGCAGGAUGCUGAGAUCCGUGCUUCAAUGGAACAGCAUGGACCAUUUCCCCAUUGAUGCUGGACUGUCCCCAGUGACCUUUAAAGAUCAAGGAGAUGGAGUUCCUGCUAGACUCUGGGGCCACUGGGAAAACUGUCUAAUUGCCGCUAAUGACUGGUUUGAAACCAGUUAGAGAGGAUUCCAGUCAAUAUCUGAAAUUAAUGUCAGCAUCCUGCCAAACAAGGAUUUUAUGCUAUUUAGUUUUGUUUCCGUCUGAAAAAAGAAUUCCUUAACAUGUUUGACAGUGUUUAUCCACUAAAUUUCUUUUGGGCUUUGAGCUGAUUCAAAAAAAAUACAGUCGAAGACUCUGGCCUCUCUUGUUUCCGCAGUUUUAUUCCUCAUCUCUG